rnacentral:misc_RNA from 1 species
AAAAAAAAAAAAAAAAAAGCAUGCAAAAUAAGUCACUAAUUGGUAAAUAUUUCCAAAUUAUUAUUUGUUAUUUAAAAGAAUCAUGUGCCGUGGAGAGAAAAUGAACAAACACACACAAGUAUAAACAGGGCAGCCCUCCGUUAAAAGCCUGAACCAGAUAACAUAUAAAUCAACAAUAAUAGAAACUAUAAUUUAAAUUUUUAAUAAACAAUAAGGAAAAAACACUUUAAUUCAUACAUAACUAGUUAAACAAAGCUGAAAGGUAUGGGAAUUACGAUGACCUAGUCCAAGGCAUGACCUUAUGCAAGGACUAUUUUUGAAGAACGACCAAAAGCUCUAAGCUGUUAAAACACGAAUGAGCAUGGCG